UGAAUACGAGACGCUAAGGCGUCGAAGUAGUGUAUGUCAUACUUCCAAGAAAAGCUUGCACUGUCAUAGAUAAAAAACGCCUGUACCAUAACCGACACAGGUGGGUAGGUAGAGUAUACUAAGGGGCGCGAGAUAACUCUCUCUAAGGAACUCGGCAAAAUAACUCCGUAACUUCGGGAGAAGGAGUGCCUUAUUAUUAAGGCUGCAAUAACAAGAUCCAAGCAACUGUUUAUCAAAAACACAGGUCUCCGCUAAGUCGUAAGACGAUGUAUGGGGGCUGACGCCUGCCCAGUGCCAGAAGGUUAAAGAAGUUGGUUAGCAUUUGCGAAGCUGAUAACUGAAGCCCUGGUGAACGGCGGCCGUAACUAUAACGGUCCUAAGGUAGCGAAAUUCCUUGUCGGGUAAGUUCCGACCCGCACGAAAGGCGUAAUGAUUUGGAUACUGUCUCGGAGAGGGGCUCGGUGAAAUAGACUUGUCUGUGAAGAUGCGGACUACCUGCACCAGGACAGAAAGACCCUAUGAAGCUUUACUGUAACUUGAAAUUGAAAUUGGACUUUAUUCGCGCAGCAUAGGUGGGAGGCGUUGAUUAUAAUCUUGUGGGAUUAUUGGAGCCAUCAGUGAGAUACCACUCUUGUAAUGUUAGAUUUCUAACUUUGAAUCAUUAUCUGGUCAAAGAACAGUUUCAGGCGGGCAGUUUGACUGGGGCGGUCGCCUCCUAAACGGUAACGGAGGCGUACAAAGGUUUCCUCUGAACGGUUAGAAAUCGUAUCUAGAGUGUAAAGGCAUAAGGAAGCUUGACUGUGAGACCUACAAGUCGAGCAGGGACGAAAGUCGGUCUUAGUGAUCUGACGGUACUGAGUGGAAAGGCCGUCACUCAACGGAUAAAAGUUACUCUAGGAUAACAGGCUGAUCUCCCCCAAGAGUUCACAUCGACGGGGAGGUUUGGCACCUCGAUGUCGGCUCAUCGCAUCCUGGGGCGGUAGUACGUCCCAAGGGUUGGGCUGUUCGCCCAUGAAAGCGGUACGCGAGCUGGGUUCAGAACGUCGUGAGACAGUUCGGUCCAUAUCCGGUGUAGGCGUUAGAAUAUUGAGAGGAGCCUUCUUUAGUACGAGAGGACCGAGAAGGACAUACCUCUGGUGUACCAGUUAUCGUGCCAACGGUAAACGCUGGGUAGCUAUGUAUGGAGUGGAUAACCGCUGAAAGCAUCUAAGUGGGAAGCCCACCUC
rnacentral:rRNA from 1 species